CCCAACACGUCUGUUUCCGCAAUUCCCAACAGCUCACUGCUUUUAUGAGCCUGGAGGGUUCGGCUUGACAUUGGCCGUGUGGUCAAAAAAAAACACAAAAAAAGCCAAAAAAAAUCACUAAAAUGACAACUAUCUUGGCGAAAUGGUAUCAGCACCCAAUGGAAAGAUUUAUGGACAAAAUGGCAAUGGUGAGUGUAUCCACUUACCGGGACGACCACUUGGAUGAGCUGGAGAGAAACAGAGCAGCUAAACCUAAACUGCAUACCCAGGGAGCGACUGGCGCUCAGGAAAACAGACUACAUUCCUGCCAUAAGAAAAUGUCAAAAAGGGGAUCCAAUUGAAAGAAGAAAUCAUUCUGCAAUUUACCAAGAUUUUUACAAAGUUUGAAAAUCCUAUUUCAUGACUAAUUCUUGUGGAUUCCUUUAACUUUUUCCUUUCAACUCAUAGCAAUGCCACUUUUCAAGACAGCUAUUCCAAUGCUUUCCUGGCCAAUCUCCUAUCUGAGAGGAAGUGUUGAGUCUUAAUGUAUUGAAUAUAGUAAAGAUGUUCCUGCUGUAAUGAGUUAAAUCUCUAACCUAAUCCAGUGGGAAAUAUGGGUGUACAGAACUCCAUAUUUCUCAGCUCCUGCAAUUUUGGACACUUGGUAAUUCUUGAUUUCUAUCGCACCACCACUGAAUUCAUUCUGUCCUCAAACCCGUCUACUUUUCCAUUUAAAGUACUCCUAAAUUACAUUUUCAUACUGACCCCUGUUCUUAGGCAUUACAAUUCAACUGCAGCUCAUAAACUGCGAAAAACAGGGCUCAUUAUCACAGUGCAACAAUAACCACUUCUCUCUCAAUGUCGGCAAAACAAAAGAACUGAUCGCCUACUUCAGGAAGAAUGGAAGAGAAGGCACCCCCAUCUGGAGCAACGGUACAGAGCUUGAGAGGGUGUGGAGCGACAAAUUCCUAAGAGUGACAAAAACCUACAACCAAAGGUGGACUUCCCAGAUUGUUGUGACUGGAGGGAAGGCACAGCAACUCUUCCUCCUCAGGUGGCCCAGGAAAUUUAGCAUUACAAGCAACUUUUAAAGGUGCACUUAGAAAGCGUACUAUCUGCCAGGCAGAAGAUACAGAAGCUUGAUCACACUCACCAACAAGCUCAAGGGCCACUUCUUCACUAUCGUCAUUAGACUGAUGAAUGGACUCUUGUAAUUUCAAAUUAUGUUGGUCUUGCCAAUGUUAGUCUUACUUUGCACACUUCCUGACCAGUUCUAACCCUGUAUGCCUUGCUGUAAGCACUGUAUGAUCUAUAUGUCAGUGUUUGCUGUAAGUUGCCUGUACUGCUCACAAAGCAUGUUUCGCUGUAUUGUUGAGAGAUACAAUAAAUUUGCAUCUUUAGAAGUGUUAAAA